rnacentral:rRNA from 1 species
AACGAACGCUGGCGGCAUGCCUAACACAUGCAAGUCGAACGAGACCUUCGGGUCUAGUGGCGCACGGGUGCGUAACGCGUGGGAAUCUGCCCUUGGGUUCGGGAUAACAGUUGGAAACGACUGCUAAUACCGGAUGAUGACUUCGGUCCAAAGAUUUAUCGCCCAGGGAUGAGCCCGCGUCGGAUUAGCUAGUUGGUGAGGUAGGAGCUCACCAAGGCGACGAUCCGUAGCUGGUCUGAGAGGAUGAUCAGCCACACUGGGACUGAGACACGGCCCAGACUCCUACGGGAGGCAGCAGUGGGGAAUAUUGGACAAUGGGCGAAAGCCUGAUCCAGCAAUGCCGCGUGAGUGAUGAAGGCCUUAGGGUUGUAAAGCUCUUUUACCCGGGAUGAUAAUGACAGUACCGGGAGAAUAAGCCCCGGCUAACUCCGUG